GGCACUUGGAUAUCGGCCUGCGCGGCCCGAGAUUUUCGUUCACCUGCGGCCGCCGCGUUUUGUGUCAGAAAUCGGGCCCCGUGAGGGGGGUACCUAUUUGUUUUGUUUCGUUUAUAGUGUUCUUUUCAAUUUAUGGAUUACUUCCGCCUAUCAAAUUAAAGAGGAAAGAAAGGCGCGUAUUAUAGCGUUUUCCACUUCGGGAUCGGUUGUGUGUGUUCGGAGUUACAAGGAGUUAAAAAUAAGCCCCUGAUCACAACCUGCCACUGUUCCAUUGGAUUUAUUGACAGCUCACCAGAAUAAAUCCUGACUUUAAUUAAAAUCCAGAAAUGCUUGCGGAGUUGGUCGAAUUCACAGAAAAACUUGUUUGAACAAGUUGCAAAAAAAUUGAGCACUUAAGAAAGCAUUUGUUGCAGACAAGAAAAAAAAAUUGACAUUAAUUUAACAAUAUCAAGUUGGCAGACUGGGUGAACUAAACAAUUGCCAGAAAUAAAGAAAGAAUAAAUAAGUAUCGUGACACAAUUGCGUGCUUCAAAAAACAUGUCAUAUUUCACAACUAAUUGUCUUUGAAGAAGUUGAACAUUUAAAUAAACACAAUAAAAAUAUAAUGAAAAACUUG